rnacentral:sRNA from 1 species
GCUCCUUACGCGUUAUGGCAUAGUUAUAUGCUAGUCGGGCGAUUAGCCAGACUCGAACUUAUUGAACGGU